UCAAGCUACAAGGGUGUAUGGUGAAUGCCUUGGUGCCAGAAGUCGAUGAAAGACGUGAUAAGCUGCGAUAAGCUACGGGUAGGAGCAAAUAUCCUUUGAUCCGUAGAUCUCUGAAUGGGGGAACCCUUACAGGUGAGAGCCUGUAAAUCAUCACUUGAAGGUUAAGCCUUCGGGCUUGAAGAUAGGGUGAUAGAAGACAACGUAGGGAAGUGAAACAUCUCAGUACCUACAGGAAAAGAAAUCAACGAGAUUCCCUGAGUAGUGGCGAGCGAAAUGGGAACAGCCUAAACCAACUCCCGCACAGUGUACAUUACGGUGUACAGUGUGCGUGGGUUGGGGUUGCAGGGCUUGCGAUAUGGAAUGUGUUGACGGUUAGUUGAAUGGUCUGGAAAGUCCAACCAUAGCGGGUGAUAGUCCCUUAAACGAAAACUGAAGACCUCCUAGCGAGUACCUAAGUAUCACUGGUCACGUGCAAUCCGGUGAGAAUCUGGGGAGACCACUCUCCAAGGCUAAAUACUCUCUGGCAACCGAUAGUGAACCAGUACCGCGAGGGAAAGGCGAAAAGAACCCCGAGAGGGGAGUGAAAUAGAACCUGAAACCGUACAUCUACAAGCUAUUGUAGCACUAUGCCCGCAAGGGAAUGUGCGACAGUGUGCCUGUUGAAGAAUGAUCCAGCGAGUUAAUGUGCCGAGCAAGGUUAAGGGCUGAAGAGGUCCGCAGCCGUAGUGAAAGCGAGCUCGAAUAGAGCGAUUAGUUCGUCAUAUUAGACCCGAAGCCAAGUGAUCUAACCCUGUCCAGGCUGAAGUUCGCGUAACAGUGAAUGGAGGGCCGGAGUGUUAAACGUUGAAAAGUUUCUACAUGAGGUGGGGUUAGGGGUGAAAGGCCAAUCGAACUUGGUGAUAGCUGGUUCUCCCCGAAAUAGCUUUAGGGCUAGCGUUGAAAUUUAACCCGAGGGGGUAAAGCACUGGUAGAUUUAGGGGGAGCGACCCUCCUUCCGAUGUCUGUCAAACUCUGAAUACCUCGGCGUAUAUUUCAGCAGUCAGUUCGUGAGGGAUAAGCUUCACGUGCGAGAGGGAAACAGCCCAGACCGUCAAUUUAGGUCCCAAAAUGUAUGCUAAGUGGUAAAGGAUGUAGAUUUACUUAAACAGCUAGGAGGUUGGCUUAGAAGCAGCCACCCUUUGAAGAGUGCGUAAUAGCUCACUAGUCGAGUGAAUCUGCGCCGAAGAUGACUCGGGGCUAAGCAUACUACCGAAAUUACGGAUUGUACAUUGAUUCGUCUUUGUACAGUGGUAGGGGAGCGUUAUUAGCAGCUGCGAAGGUAUACCGUAAGGAGUGCUGGAGCGCUAAUAAGUGAGAAUGCUGGAAUGAGUAGCGAUAAGGAAGGUGAGAAUCCUUCCCGCCGAAAAUCUAAGGUUUCCUUGAGCAACGUUCGUCGGCUCAGGGUCAGUCGGGCCUAAGCUCAGGCCGAAAGGCGUAGGCGAAGGACAUCCGGUUAAUAUUCCGGAACCAUAGUAAGCGCGUCAUAACCUAGGGAGGGACGCAGGAGAGUAAACCCGUUGGCUACAUGCCAAUGAAAGGCCGUAGGCAUCUUCGGAUAGGCAAAUCCGUCCGGAGGCUAAGCCGAAAACCGAGACUAGAGACCGUAAGGUUUCAAAGGGGUCCAAUCACGCUGCCUAGAAAAACUUCGUAGGGAGUUCUUACUAUGACCGUACCGUAAACCGACACAGGUGGAUGGGGUGAAAAUCCUAAGGCGCGCGAGAUAACCAUCGUCAAGGAACUAGGCAAACUAGCUCCGUAACUUCGGAAGAAGGAGUGCCUGAUUACUGGUGUAGCAAUACAUUGGGAAAAGGCCGCAGUGAAAUGGGCUUCGUUAUAGGGCCUGAUGCCUGCCCGGUGCCGGAAGGUCAAGGGGAGUGGUUAGCCGCAAGGCGAAGCUGCGAACUUAAGCCCCGGUAAACGGCGGCGGUAACUAUAACCGUCCUAAGGUAGCGAAAUUCCUUGUCGGGUAAGUUCCGACCUGCACGAAUGGCAUAACAAAGAAGCCGCUGUCUCGACGGUGGGCUCGGCGAAAUUGUGGUUCAAGUGAAGACGCUUGAUGCAUGCAACAAGACGAAAAGACCCUAUGGAGCUUUACUGUAGCUUGUUAUUGGAUUACGGUCUUCAAUACGUAGUAUAGCUGGGAGCCUUUGAUACAUUCCUUGCGGGGGGUGUGGAGGCAACAGUGAAAUACCAGCUUUUGUGGAUUGUGGUUCUAACCUAUUACCCGUGAAUCCGGGUUGGGGACAGUGGCAGGUGGGCAGUUUGACUGGGGCGGUCGCCUCCUAAAGAGUAACGGAGGCGUUCUAAGGUUCCUUCAGGCCGUAUAGAAAUCGGCCAUUGAGCGCAAAGGUAGAAAGGAGCUUGACUGUGAGGACGACGGUCCGAACAGGUGCGAAAGCAGGACUUAGUGAUCCGGUGGUCCCUCGUGGGAGGGCCAUCGCUCAACGGACAAAAGCUACCCUGGGGAUAACAGGCUGAUCGGGCCCAAGAGUUCACAUCGACGGCUCGGUUUGGCACCUCGAUGUCGGCUCAUCACAUCCUCCCGCUGAAGCAGGUGGGAAGGGUUGGGCUGUUCGCCCAUUAAAGUGGUACGUGAGCUGGGUUCAGUACGUCGUGAGACAGUACGGUCUCUAUCUGUUGUAUGCGCAGGAAACUUGAGAGGAGUUGUCCAUAGUACGAGAGGGCCUGGAUGAACGAACCUCCUGUAUAUCAGUUGUCUGUAAACAGGCAUAGCUGAUUAGCGGUGUUCGGUAGGGAUAAACGCUGAAAGCAUAUAAGCGUGAAACCCGCCUCAAGAUAAGGUUUCCCUGGUAGAUUAACUACCCAGAAGACCCCCGGAAGACUACCGGGUUGAUAGGCAGAGUGUGUAAGCACAGUAAUGUGUUCAGCUAAUCUGUACUAAUAGGUCGUGAGGCUUGGCCGU
rnacentral:rRNA from 1 species